UACAGAGGUCUCAAGCGUUGUUCGGAUUCAUUGGGCGUAAAGGGUGCGUAGGCGGCUUAUUAAGUCAGUGGUGAAAGCCCCAAGCUUAACUUGGGAACUGCCAUUGAUACUGAUGAGCUUGAGUAGAUUUGAGGCGGGCGGAAUGUGUCGUGUAGCGGUGAAAUGCUUAGAUAUGACACAGAACACCAAUUGCGUAGGCAGCUCGCUAAACUCUUACUGACGCUGAGGCACGAAAGCAUGGGGAUCAAACAGG
rnacentral:rRNA from 1 species